UUCCAAGAAACAAAUCGUCAGAGAAAAAGAGGGCCGGAGAAUCCAGAGCGACGGAGAUGGUUGUUGGCGACGGCAGACGCGGCUGAGGCCAUUCUGUGCUCCGACGACGGGUACGUGAAAAAGCGGGUACGUGAAGGAACAUCAUCGCUGGCCAAUUGGCCUUACACUGGCGGGAACAUCAACGGUGGUAGGUAGGGUUUAAACACUGGCGGCUUUGAAGGUCGGCCGCUGGGUUCAAGAACUCAUUGACAAUAGUAACCCACUUGCCGUCCGAUGAAGACGAUGGUAGUCGAUUCGAGACCAGGGACCGGCUAACUGAUCUAGGGUUCCGAUAAGGGUCGGUUAGGGUUCCGGCAACUCCGAUGUAGUGCAUGUCUCUAAACUGUUUGGGGAGAGGGCGGAGGAGGUGGAAUUUCUCUGUGGGUUUUAACGAUUGCUGAACAAGUGUCUAUAUCUUUUGAUGGAGAGUUGGGAACAUAUGCUUGCUUUUAAGAUGUUACAAAAUUCUGCAAUUCGAAUGCAUGCCAAAGGGCUUUCAAACAAAAACUUUAAACCUUUGGACAUUAAGGGUUUCAAGGCAACCAUCUUAGUUUAAAAAAGCGAGCUUUAAGCAAGCUUAAAGCGUGAGGCGAUGAAGCGCUAGGGUUGUCGCUUUUUUGCUCCAGAGGCAACAAAUCACGUGAAGCGUUUUGAAGCGCCAUUGGUUUGAAGCGACGCUUCAGCUCAAUCAGCAAAGAUGACAGACUGAAUAAGAAGGAAAUUGGUUGCAAGAUGCUGUAAGUGUGUGAAUGGUCUAACCUUUCAUGAAUCCAAGUUUAAGCUGAUUUUGGAUGAACAUGAAUGUGAGACUUUUCAGUAUCUCCACUUUUUGCAUCUCUACCAAUUCCAUUAUCUUUGGCAACUAAUUCAAAUAUGGAGCCCAAGUUCCAGUUGAAGAAUUCAAGAAUACAAUGCUUUGUAUUUUGAUAUUUUCUAAGAAAGAAAUAGUACUAAUGUGAUGAUGCAUGGUCGUGAUUACCUGCUUAGAUCAACCCGGCUCAUCCCAUUCGAAAGAUUUAAGGGUGUGUUGACGACAAUAGAACCAGUAUGUAUUUUUUUUGCUUUUGAUUGUUGCGGGUUUUAAUAAUGAAAAUGUUGUUCCUUACAUGGUCAUGGAUGUGAUGAUGAAGCCUCCUUGAUUGGAU
rnacentral:lncRNA from 1 species